UCCUACGGGAGGCAGCAGUGGGGAAUAUUGCACAAUGGGCGCAAGCCUGAUGCAGCGACGCCGCGUGAGGGAUGACAGCCUUCGGGUUGUAAACCUCUUUCAGCAGGGAAGAAGCGCGAGUGACGGUACCUGCAGAAGAAGCACCGGCUAACUACGUGCCAGCAGCCGCGGUAAGACGUAGGGUGCGAGCGUUGUCCGGAAUUAUUGGGCGUAAAGAGCUCGUAGGCGGCCUGUCGCGUCGGAUGUGAAAGCCCGGGGCUUAACCCCGGGUCUGUAUUCGAUACGGGCAGGCUAGAGUUCGGCAGGGGAAAUUGGAAUUCCUGGUGAGCGGUGGAAUGCGCAGA
rnacentral:rRNA from 1 species